rnacentral:rRNA from 1 species
GGAAUAUUGCACAAUGGGCGAAAGCCUGAUGCAGCAACGCCGCGUGAGGGAUGACGGCCUUCGGGUUGUAAACCUCUUUUAGUAGAGAAGAAGCGAAAGUGACGGUACCUGCAGAAAAAGCACCGGCUAACUACGUGCCAGCAGCCGUGGUAAUACGUAGGGUGCAAGCGUUGUCCGGAAUUAUUGGGCGUAAAGAGCUCGUAGGCGGUUUGUCGCGUCUGCUGUGAAAACUGGGGGCUCAACCCCCAGCCUGCAGUGGGUACGGGCAGACUAGAGUGCGGUAGGGGAGAUUGGAAUUCCUGGUGUAGCGGUGGAAUGCGCAGAUAUCAGGAGGAACACCAAUGGCGAAGGCAGAUCUCUGGGCCGUAACUGACGCUGAGGAGCGAAAGCAUGGGGAGC